AACGAACGCUGGCGGCAGGCUUAACACAUGCAAGUCGAGCGCAUCCUUCGGGGUGAGCGGCGGACGGGUGAGUAACGCGUGGGAACGUGCCCUCUUCUACGGAAUAGCCUCGCGAAACUGAGAGUAAUGCCGUAUACGCCCGCAAGGGGAAAGAUUUAUCGGAGGAGGAUCGGCCCGCGUUGGAUUAGGUAGUUGGUGGGGUAACGGCCUACCAAGCCGACGAUCCAUAGCUGGUUUGAGAGGAUGAUCAGCCACACUGGGACUGAGACACGGCCCAGACUCCUACGGGAGGCAGCAGUGGGGAAUCUUGGACAAUGGGGGCAACCCUGAUCCAGCCAUGCCGCGUGAUCGAUGAAGGCCUUAGGGUUGUAAAGAUCUUUCAGCUGGGAAGAUAAUGACGGUACCAGCAGAAGAAGCCCCGGCUAACUCCGUG
rnacentral:rRNA from 1 species